rnacentral:lncRNA from 1 species
CAAAUCUGCCUGGUGAUCGUUGUGUUCAUCCUCGUUAUACUCAAAAAGUUCAAUUCCAGUUUGCUCAUAUUCAUUUGGAUCAGAUGCCCAUUCAUUUAGAUCAUCAAAACCAUAAUCAUUGCAGUAUCCACUGUAGGAGCCAUUACCAAAAGAUUUUCCUUCAUAAUCUAGUCCAGGAAAAGGCUGCCUUAGUAGAGGGUUUGUACAUUCUCGUUCUCUCCUAGACUCUGUAGGUCUUAAGUCUGAUUGGAAAAGGCUGCCUUAGUAGAGGGUUCGUAUAAUCUAGAUCUCUCCUGGACUCCGUAGGUCUUAAAUCUGAUUCAAUAUCAUCAAUUUGGAGAAAAGGGUCAUCCAAAAGCUCUCUUGCUGAGAGCCUUAGAGACACGGUGGCCAAGCAUUUU